rnacentral:rRNA from 1 species
CCCUUAGACGUUCUGGGCCGCACGCGCGCUACACUGACACAGGCAACGAGCUUUCCUUUACCGAAAGGUAUGGGUAACCUUUUGAAACUGUGUCGUGCUGGGGAUAGAUCCUUGCAAUUUUUGAUCUUAAACGAGGAAUUCCUAGUAAGCGCGAGUCAUCAACUCGCGUUGAUUACGUCCCUGCCCUUUGUACACACCGCCCGUCGCUACUACCGAUUGAAUGGCUUAGUGAGGCCUCAGGAUCCGCGCUUAAUGUGUGGAGAAUUUGGACAAACUACGUCAUUUAGAGGAAGUAAAAGUCGUAACA